GGAAUUUUCCGCAAUGGGCGCAAGCCUGACGGAGCAAUGCCGCGUGCGGGAUGAAGUAUCUCUGGUAUGUAAACCGCUGUCAGGGGGCAGAAACAAUGAUUGCCCCCAGAGGAAGUGGCGACUAACUCUGUGCCAGCAGUCGCGGUAAUACAGAGGCCACGAGCAUUAGUCGGAAUCGCUGGGCUUAAAGGGUGCGUAGGUGGCUUGCCAAGUGCUUUGUGAAAUCCCACGGCUCAACCGUGGAACAGCAGGGCAUACUGGCAAGCUUGAGGCAAGUAGGGGCUGACGGAACAGUAGGUGGAGCGGUGAAAUGCGUAGAUAUCUACUGGAACGCCGAUGGUGAAGACGGUCAGCUGGGCUUGUCCUGACACUGAGGCACGAAAGCGUGGGGAGCAAACAGGAUUAGAUACCCCUGUAGUC
rnacentral:rRNA from 1 species